rnacentral:rRNA from 1 species
UGGGGAAUAUUGCACAAUGGGGGGAAACCCUGAUGCAGCGACGCCGCGUGAAGGAAGAAGUAUCUCGGUAUGUAAACUUCUAUCAGCAGGGAAGAAAAUGACGGUACCUGACUAAGAAGCCCCGGCUAACUACGUGCCAGCAGCCGCGGUAAUACGUAGGGGGCAAGCGUUAUCCGGAUUUACUGGGUGUAAAGGGAGCGUAGACGGAUGGACAAGUCUGAUGUGAAAGGCUGGGGCUCAACCCCGGGACUGCAUUGGAAACUGCCGUACUAGAGUGUCGGAGGGGUAAGUGGAAUUCCUAGUGUAGCGGUGAAAUGCGUAGAUAUUAGGAGGAACACCAGUGGCGAAGGCGGCUUACUGGACGAUCACUGACGCUGAGGCUCGAAAGCGUGGGGAGCAAACAGGAUUAGAUACCCUGGUAGU